AGUCCGUGGCGCACGCCUUUAAUCCCAGCACUCGGGAGGCAGAGGCAGGUGGAUCUCUGAGUUCGAGGCCAGCCUGGUCUACAAAGUGAGUUCCAGGACAGCCAGGGCUAUACAGAGAAACCCUGUCUCGAAAAACCAAAAAAAAAAAAAAAAAAAAAGAGUAGCAGGGUUCUGCUCUCAUUCUCCUCUCCUCCCCUCCCCAUCACCUCUUCCCAGUACCCUUAUGUGUUCUGUGGCUGGAGAGCGACCAAGCUGCUGCUGGAUCGAGUGAUGGGAUCCCCGAUACGUGUUGCACCGUUUUGCACCACUAGGGGAUGCAAGCAGGCCUUGUCUGUGGUUUAGGCUGACAGUUCUAGGCGGCUGUCUAGAAAGACCGAGAAGAUGGAGAUUCUACGAUCAGUUCCCCAAAAGGUCACUAGAGGGCAGCAUCUGACAGGAGGUUGCAUAUUGGCAGGAAGGCUAGGUGACCCUGGCCCAGCCAGUCACGAAGACAGGGCAGGCAGGCUUCGUCUUACUCACCUGCCAAGAGUGAAGCAUGAAUCUGGCCAGAAUUCUAACGAGGAGCAACCAUCUUUCACAAUUGUAGC
rnacentral:lncRNA from 1 species